CGUCCGUCCGUUAGUUCGUCCCGUGCGCAAGAGAGGGCGUGUAUCGUUGGCAUCGUGAAACAGAGAGAGAGAGAGAAAAAAAAAAGACCAACGAAAUUAACAAGCAAUCAUCAUCAAGGGACAUCGAGUCCCUACUUAUAUAUAAAAGAGACAUUCAAACUCGGAUAUAAAACGAUCGACUGCUGUGUGCGUCCGCAGAGGCGAGUGUCGUUAGCCGACGAGUUAAAAGGGGCUCGGUGGGUAUGUAAUAAUCAGAGGCGGACGAACGUUGACAGGCGGCAAUCGAGGAUUACGUCGUACGAUACGAGCCGCUAUUAACGUCACGUUUUUUUGCACGGAUAGUGCGCCGCCUAUUCGGCACGAACAGGAACUCGCGUGGAAAACGUUGGAGGGAAUUUCCAAGGCGAAGUAGGGAAGAGGAGCGCCUCGAUCCGUCACGAUCAAACGGUACCUGUGAUUUAAUUGUCGCUCGGUCGAGAGAGGUCGCUCUACUCGACCCAGUUAUCAUUUUUACCAGAUCCUAUCUUAUCUCUUCUUUUACAAUCAACAUUUACGAGCAAGAUUUUCGAUUCCUCGUAUUUGAUAUUUAUUCCAGUAGUAAUUAUAUUUCGAUUCUUUUUUGUACGAAAGGAAGAAACAGAUUAAUCUUCUUUACCGAUCGAACUGAGAAUCGAUUUUUAUUUUUUGGACUUUAUUCUUAAAGGGAGAUUUAAGACUCGAGCUCGGCCGAAGGAGAGAACUGGAUUCGAAGGAGGCGGUGUAUCUCGACGUCUAUCUGAAUAAUAACGUGUACGACAACAUGUCAAAUUAUUCAGAAGUUGCGAGGCACACAGGCGUGUACGCGAGUGUUUGCACGGGGGCGGCGUGCGUGCGUGCGUGCGUGCGUGCGUGCGUGUGCCACGUCGAGGAAACCACGUCGGGGUAGCGGGCAGACACGUGUUCGCGGUGGCGGUGGCUCUCGACAGCAGUUUUAUAAUUGCCGAUAAAAAAUAAUCUCGAUGUGAGAGCGAGAUCGAUGAUUUUUCGUUAGGGAUAAUAAGGAAAGAAUUUUUUCAAGAAUCGAGAAGAGAGAGAAAAAAAAAACAAUUGCAAAAACACGAGCGAAAACGAGACGAUUAAUUCGAAACAAGUCGAUAUCUAUCCAACCGCAUCGAAAAUGGGACAAAGAUCCCGUUCACCGAGUUAUAUACGAGGUAUAUACGAUCGAUGGAAAAGUCGUGAUAACGACCUUUCUCUAUCGAGAUUGACAUUUAGAUUACCACGACUCGUGGAUUGUCAUGCGAACACUGGACCCCUCUAAUAGGCUCUAUUAGCAUGAAACGGUGUGUAAUCGUCGUAUGCGCACACAUGCCGGAGAACGACGAAUGGCAUGCCUCUCCCCAAGCCUGCCACCUUUUCGCAUCUCUCGAACAAUCGACGCACAAUUAUUCGAAGAUAAAUUUCGUAGCAUCGACAUCCUUCGAUAUAUAUAACUAUAUUUCAUUUUCCAAUUUUUUCUUACUUACUUACUUUUUCCUUAAAUUGAUCACCAAGCAUGAUGAUUAAUUUCGAAACAAUCGGAAUCUCCACGCGAAGAUUGAUCGAUCAGUUGAGUCAAGUUGGCAGCCCUCCGUCCACUCGGUAUGCGCGCGCAUCACGUGACUCGUCCUCCGAACUCUCCGAGCAUACCAGCUGGUAAUGCGCCUCCUCUAAGGAGACGCGCACCUGCGCCCGCCCUUCCGUCUAAUUAUUCGGCCGGCUUUUUUAACUCGCGGCGAUUUAUAUCGAGCAAUUAGCCCCGGCUGUAGCGCUAAUUGGAGUAUAGACGUGGAGUAUAAACGUGGCCUGGACCACGGGUCGGCCGAUAAACACCGACUGUCUCGUUAGUGCCUCGCGUGGGGUCCUCGGUGCCUACUUUCGACGAGGAAAGUUUUCGAGGAGGGGGGAGGGGGGCUUUCAAUCGGGAAAAAUACCGUGGCGCUACGUGUUUUACAAUACAGUGGAUCUCGAUCAAUUUUGAGAAACGUUAAAAUUCUAGAAUUUUUGAAAUUCUAUAAACUCGAAAACUUUGACAUUGAUGAAUCAAAAAUAUGGAAUUAGAGAAACUCAAGUUUGGAUUUUCAGAGGGAAGAGAUAGAUUCCGUAAAUCCUGUAAUUCGAUCUCGAGAUUGUGCGUUUCCAAACAUCGUGAAAAAAGAAAAAUAUUCAAAUUUCGCAAAGAGAAGAGAAAUGAGCGAGUCGGUGUCCAGGCGUGGAAUCGGUAACAGCGUUUAACGAGUAGGUCUACAGAGCGAGAAAACGGACUAAGAAACGUUUAAGGUUUCAAGGUGUUUAGGAGCAGUUUCGUACGCGGCGAGCAAAUUGCCCGUUUCGACCCAUCUUACCUUCCCCGAAAAGUGGCCUGUUCCUGGUUAAUGACGAGGCAUUUUCGCGCCUCCCUUCGCUACCUGCCAGACAUUGAUGGAUACCAUCCUCGAUUCCAGCCUAUUUUAAUUUACGUUUUCGCACGAGGAAUCCGGAUUUCCUUAUUUUAUUCAUCCCCCCUGUUUUGGGACAGAAUCGUUUUCAUUUUGCAUCCUGCAUCGAAAAAUUUUUAAAAAAAAUAUAAAGAUAGAUAAUAUUUAUUUAUAUAUGUGUAUAAAAUUGUACAGCAAGACUGCCAUCUUAAUAAAAAAAAAUGGCAGAUUGAAGCUCGAAAUAUCUUUCCCCCCCCAGGAAACUAAACUGUCUCGUCUAUUUCCACAGAUGAUGGAAUUUAUAAGACGUGACACAACGUGACUAUCCACAGCUGGAUCGGUAUCUUCUUCGUUGAGAAUUGCCUCGUGCACUCGUCCAUGCAUAUGCAUAAGCACGAUACACUGUGCCCGUUUAUCCUCUGGCCGAUUUUUAAUAAUGGUAUUUAAGUCUUAUCAAAGUGUAAAAAAUACAUUGUAAUCUCAUAUUUUAACAUAUAUUUUACAUAUCAGGUAAUAUUAAUCAGAUCGUAAUAAAUAAGAAUAAAAGGUGAAUAAAUUUUUAGAUGGACGUUAAGCGACCGAGAGAUUAAAAUUUAACGGCAAUAAUUAAGUCUAAUUAAAGUCAAAUACAAUUUGUAUCGUCGACGAUCGAGUUCAAGCCGAUCUUAUUAUAAUAAGAAAAUUCUCUUUCUUCGUUACGCGAUAUACAUUUUUCCAAAUUUAUAAUUUUACGAUUAUAUAAAUUUCUAUGCAUAAAUUUAAUUUUCCAAAUUAGCAUAAAAUAUUCGUAGUUAAAAUUCACGAAACAAAUUCUCCUACGCGUAAAUCCAAAAUUAAACCUGUUGAAAAUAAACAAACGGCCGGAUAUUAUACGUACAAUGGUACAUGAAAGGAAAGAGGGCAGCACCGGAGGGUCCAGUUGCGCGAGAUCUCUCGUGGCAGAUAUGGCGUUGGCCCCUAAACAUCCACCAUUAUAUUAAAUUGUGUAUAUUUCCCUUCAUAAUUACUCGAAUUAUGUAAAUCGGUAUGUUAAUACGCUGCAUCCACCCUCCUGAACCCCUUCCCCUCCCCGCUACGCGAAGCCUCUUCCUCUCGCGCAGUACCUCGACCGCCACGCCACCGUACGAUUACAGCAAUUUCGUUUAAGCGUGCGCUAAAUGUUACUUUAUGCGCUUUUUAUUCAACCGGCAUCCGGUCUCGCGGAUACGUGCACCGUCCCUCGGGUCCUCUUUUCUAGAUCGUGCUCCGUUUAACGCGCGCCUCUAUUUACAUAAUAUUUCGCGAGGAGAUACGUAUCGAACGUAUCGUGAGCGUGCUCGAAUCGGAGGCCGCGGAUCGUCGUUCAAAGUGCCGUGAGUGAUUAAAAGAAAAAAAUUGAUCGAUACUUCUUUUUCCUAAAUUCGAAAAUAUUGAGGAUAGUGCGUGUGUGUGUGUGUGUCGUGAAUUUUGGAAAAAAAAUGAUUCAUCGAUAUCGACAACAAGAACGCGAUCCUAACCUAUAAGCUUGAAAUUUAUACGACUAAGAUAAAUUGGUAGAAAGUGGAUUGGACGUAAUCGGACUGUGAAAGAAUUUUCACCGAAACGAAAAAUAUAUAAAGAAAAAAGAAAAAAUUCUUAAUUAAACGAGACAAAGACAAAUCGGUAGAAAGUAAAACACGACAACUACGAAAGAAUUUUUAUAGCGCAAAACCGUGGCCGUGCUCGUUUAUCUUACAUAGUUCCUCGUCCCAAUUAUCCGUCGCGUGAAAAAUUUAUUCUUUCCGCAUAUUUUACGUUAGUCGGCCGGUGUAGCCGCCCUAUUUACAUAAUUUUUCGCGAGAUCGAUAUCGGGGCAGAGAUUGCACCGCUUUAAUGAGGCACGGCAACGAAAUUAGGAAUCUAAAGCCAUUCACGCCGGGUCUGGCCACGCAACGUGAUCAACCAAGGCGAUCGACAGAUAAGUACGAUCUCUGUUAUUAGCGAUAGGAAUCGAUUCAUAAAGCAAAUCGACAACCACCGAAGGCGGUCGUACGAGGGCGCGCAACUCAAUUCACUCGGUCGUGUUUCGGGUUUAAGUUUAGCGCCCUCUUUCGCGUUAAUACUCUCGGUAAUGUCGUGUAAACAUGGUGUCGUACAACGUGUUUUUCGUGGAUUCGUCGUUUAAAAAGUUUUCAAGUCUGACAAGAUUUCGAAAAAUUAUGACAAGAUAUCGCGGUUAUGGUGAGGUUAUGGUGAGUAACGUUAUUACAACCGUUCGGUGAAAAUUUUAUGUACGAGGCCUUUUCCUUUUCCGCGACAACAUCGAAAAAAUUAUCGACACUACAACUAUCCGUAUAACCUAUAAGAACGAUGCAUAUAACAAAUGUUAAAUAAUAAGUAUUAUUGAAAAAAAUUACAGUAUGAUAGCUAAUUGGUUAUUGUAUGUAGCAGUAAUAUAUUUGCUUCUAAGUAUCUUUUAUAGUAUAGUAGUCAAAUUCUUAUUCUAUAUAGCAAUAAUAUACGUAAUCCUGUACAUCGCUUAUUUACUUUUUAUCGAUCACAGGUAAUCAAAAAGAUUUUUUACUUAAAUUAGCAAUUUAUCAAUAUAUUAUAAACGAAUUUACAUAGGAUAUUACCAUUUAUUUCCAGCGAAUAGAACAUCAUUAUUUCACGAAACUAUUACAUUUUUCAAAACUUUAUAAUCACGCUAUUCGUACGUAUUCGCAUAUUUUCUCAACGUCAAAAGUUUCGAGUCUAACGCCUCGACAGUCUUGCCAACGUCUAAACGCUGUUUGAAACAGGUCUUGGAGACUCGUCCAAUUGACACAUCGGAAGGCACGUUUCAAGUUCAUCGAAUCGGAAGAACGAUAUUAUUAACGACUCGAUCCUCGUUUUUUUUUUUUUUUUUCUCGUAGGAGAGCCGCGUACAGAUUACCAAGUAAUCCACGGCCUCAUUACCGACGCCAAUUAUCGAAUGGGACGAAUCGAUCGGUGGCAAACGAUCAUCCCCGCCGACUCUCAAUCAACUUUCCGAGGCUGGAAGGACGCUGAUCGACGGAGCAGCCGGAUGACGAUCGACUGCAAUUUCGAUGAUGAUACGGAAUUAUCCAUCUGAGGGGAGGGGGACAGCAACAACCGGGCCCCGAACGGCGAGGUACACACCCCACCCCACCGCCGAUACGUGUGUCGGGGCAUCGGUGUAUACGGGAACGCUCGGAGAGGCUUUAUUACACGUAGGACGGAGUGGAAGGACGAUCACGGAUCCGCGGGCGAACUUCGUUACGGACCUAUGUGAUUUUCCAUGCAAAUUGAGUUGUUCGCCUGUCAUUAUGCUAAUAAAAGUAAUGACGCGUCGCGUAUGUACCGAGUAAUGCAGCUGCUGUAAUGAACCACGGUGUAUAGUGUAUCGGCAUUGGAGGUCCUCGCCCCACCGUUUCGAGAAGCGUGACACCGCGACGUUUUCUACGCUUUUGUGGAACACAAAACACCUGGCUGAACCGAAGAAAAUAUUAAUAAAGAGAGUUAGACUCGAGCAACAACCAUGCCUUUGGUAAUCGGGUUAUUAUCGCAAUGUAAAUUAUGAAAGAAGAAAAUCCUAACCUCAAAUAUAAUUUUCUCUUUAUUUAUUCUCGAUUCUCGUGUUAUUUUUUAUUCCAUUAAUUAAAGACCGUGUGUAUUUCUAAUUGAAUAAUAAAAUAUUUCUAAUUAAAGUAAAUAAAUAAUUACGUGAAAUAUCAGGUUACGUAAACACGUUUAUAUAACGUUUCAAAUAACAACACACUAUUAAUUACAAUUUCAUUGUACACCAGCGAUUGUCUUUGUUGUAUACUUGCACAGUACACGUGCACAUGCCAUCUUAUCUAAUGAUAAAUCAUUUAUAGGGGAAGUGGAUAAAUGACAUCUGUCCGGUUAAUUAGUUCGAGAGAAUGUCGCGGCGCGGCGUAUGCGUGAGGAAAGAGAAUGAGAAGGGUAUGGAAGUUUGUUCUGGAAAUCUGAUCGAGAGAAACAUGUGCAUAUUUUUUUUUCUUUCCUUUCUUUCUUUCCUUUUAAUAACGGGUUACGAUCACAUCGAUACGGAAAGUGAUAUCGAGGGAUCGGAGGAAUUCUUCGAAAAAAUAAUAGGGUGAGA